GACAAAUCCCGAGUGGUUUAGGACAGACAUCAAAGAGCCCUACCUCGCCAUCGUAGCCCAUCCCCAAGCUGCAAGCUUAGGAUUCGACUCCUCAGGCUGGCUCAAACAUUGUGGAUCAGGAUCACGUCCCCAUGCCCACCAGGUCGUUCGAGGAGUAUGCUGAAUGCUCGUUGAUCCAGAGAGCAUUGUGGACAAGUAUGAGAAGGAGGUUAACCUUCAUGAAAGGGUCCAAACCCUCGAGCUACUCGCUCUGAAGGUAUGAUCUUGAUGUUAACGCUGCUUUCCUAUUUUUCUAUUCUUUUUGGAUUGUUCUGACAUCGGGUAUAAUAUUUACUUUGCAGUCUUUAAGUUAGCUUGAGGCCUGACAUUGAACAUCUUGAGCAAGUUGGAGGAGCUCGAGGCCAAGAAUGAGUGGGCGAGGAAAAGGGUUUUCGAGCUUGAGAGAGAGCGAGAUGAUGCUAGGGCAGAUUUGAGGAGGACCUGAGAUGAGAUCGGGGUGGCUAAGGAUAAGGUCGAAGAAGCUAAGCUCGAGCUCGUACAAGCCAGAAAGGGCUUUGAGGAUGAACUGGCCAGGGCUCUAGCUCAGGCUAUUGAGGACUUCAAGAAGUCGGAGGAGUUCGGGACCCUCCUAGGGCAGUAUGGGUCGAGCUCAUAUCACUACGGCUUGAGGCUUGCUCGAUUAUUUUUGCGGAUGAAGCUCCUCGAUGAUUUGAACCCUAUGUUAGAGGGAUUGAGAACGUUUAGAGCUUGCCAAUUAUCUUGAGCUCUCUGCAUCGGAGGUCGAUGAAGACAAUGAUGACGGAGAUGAUGUUGGGACCCUUGAUUAGAGUGAUGCCGCCAAUGCCAUUGACCUCGAUUAGGUCUUAUCCCUUGAACUUUUGCUUACUAAUUUUUGAAAAAAUUGUAAAGUACAUUGCCCGACCUGGGCUUUUACCUUUUGGAAAUGCUAUUACUAACUUGAUGUUUUGCGUUUAUCAAAUAUUUGCUCAUGCCUCGUCUUCUACGCAUGUUUUUUUAUCCAUUUUGCUCAUGUGUUGUUUUGUGCAUGUAUUAAGGUCGAGAUAUAUAUAUCGUGUAAAGUAGCAAUGUAUUAUGAUCCCAGCUCAAGUGUUAGCAUUGUGUGAUGCGAGCUAUGGAUUUUAUGGGUCCUAGCUCAGACAAUUUUUGACAUUAAAGGUAUAUCUCAAGCAAGCAUAAAGAUCGUGUUUUGUAAAAUAUUUAUCAAGUAGAGUUUGUGCAUUUUUGGUUCGUCGUCUCUUUGACUAUGAUGUAAGAGCUUUUACGUGUUUAGCUUGUGUAUUAAUUGAAUUUUUCAGUGCGUAGUUUGAGCAGGUAUUGUCAAGGGAUGUCGACAAAAUAUGACCGAGCUCAAGCUUCGUAUUCCUUAAUGUUAUGAUAAAUCUGGG
rnacentral:lncRNA from 1 species